UGGGGAAUAUUGGACAAUGGGGGCAACCCUGAUCCAGCCAUGCCGCGUGUGUGAAGAAGGCCUUUUGGUUGUAAAGCACUUUAAGCAGGGAGGAGAGGCUAAUGGUUAAUACCCAUUAGAUUAGACGUUACCUGCAGAAUAAGCACCGGCUAACUCUGUGCCAGCAGCCGCGGUAAUACAGAGGGUGCGAGCGUUAAUCGGAAUUACUGGGCGUAAAGCGAGUGUAGGUGGCUCAUUAAGUCACAUGUGAAAUCCCCGGGCUUAACCUGGGAACUGCAUGUGAUACUGGUGGUGCUAGAAUAUGUGAGAGGGAAGUAGAAUUCCAGGUGUAGCGGUGAAAUGCGUAGAGAUCUGGAGGAAUACCGAUGGCGAAGGCAGCUUCCUGGCGUAAUAUUGACACUGAGAUUCGAAAGCGUGGGUAGCAAACAGGAUUAGAUACCCUGGUAGUCCACGCCGUAAAACGAUGUCUACUAGCCGUUGGGGUCCUUGAGACUUUAGUGGCGCAGUUAACGCGAUAAGUAGACCGCCUGGGGAGUACGGCCGCAAGGUU
rnacentral:rRNA from 1 species